CCUACGGGAGGCUGCAGUGAGGAAUAUUGGUCAAUGGGCGAGAGCCUGAACCAGCCAAGUAGCGUGAGGGAAGACGGUCCUAUGGAUUGUAAACCUCUUUUAUCGGGGAGCAAAAGAUGCCACGCGUGGGGUUCCGUGUGUACCAGAAGAAAAAGCAUCGGCUAACUCCGUGCCAGCAGCCGCGGUAAUACGGAGGAUCCGAGCGUUAUCCGGAUUUAUUGGGUUUAAAGGGUGCGUAGGCGGCCUGUUAAGUCAGCGGUGAAAGUUUGUGGCUCAACCAUAGAAUUGCAGUUGAAACUGGGAGUGUUGAGUAUGUUAGAGGCAGGCGGAAUGCGUGGUGUAGCGGUGAAAUGCUUAGAUAUCACGAAGAACCCCGAUUGCGAAGGCAGCCUGCUAAGCCAUGACUGACGCUGAUGCUCGAAAGUGUGGGGAUCAAACAGGAUUAGAUACCCCAGUAGUC
rnacentral:rRNA from 1 species